AAGGAUAGAGCUCUUCAUCUCUGUUAGAAACGACCAUCAAAAAGAUACAUCAAUUCAUUAGAAUCAAAAGGACAUGAGUUAUCAGAAUUCUUUCUCCUGAAAGAAAGUGGAGAUCAAAGGUAAAACUUCUAGAGAAUGAGAUGAAGGCAGAUGAAAGAAGUUAACAAGACAUUACAUGACUUGAUAAUAUUGCAUGUAUGCAAAAACCUUAUGAAAUCAACUGUGUUCUAGCGACCACUUGUUUUUCUUUUUGUCAUAAUACUUUUUAUUCUCUUGCAAUGAUAUUGAUUCAUCUGCACCUGACAUCAACUCUGCAUUUGUAGAAGGUGAUAAGAAUACAGGGAAAUGGAAUAAGUGGCUUUGCCUGCAAUCCCGCAGCAGCAGAAAUGUCCAUUUCCUCUCUCCUGAAUAAUACUACAUUCUCCACUGGGUUCCACAAGUUUCGAGGUAAAAGCAUGAACAUACACGAAGUCACCAUCACUACCCUCACCACCACCACCAUUAUUUCCACCAUAUUCACCCUUUUAAUACGCAAACUUCCUCCAAGGCUUCCUGAAGUCACCCAGAAAUGCAUUUCCCCAAGAGUGAGUUGUGCUAACAUUGUAUCCUAUGGAACUCUGGGAAGCUACCCAGAUCCUCAACUCUUGGAGUCUUGCUGACUGCAUGUUCCAGGCUCCACAUUUAAGCUCCAGUGACUGCUGAUGACUGCAUGACCUAACACAUGUCCUCAAUCCUUUCUUGGCCUCAGUUUCUUCACCAGUGAAUUCUGAAUGCUGGAAUUGGCAAUAUUUCAGGUUCUUUCCAACUGGAAAUACCCAUGCUAAUAAUUUUAGUAAGUCAAUAGCCAUAGAAACCUACUGACAAAAUGAGUAUUUUAACAGAGACAGUUGUACUUUCUUAAUUUUUAGCAGAAGGGAAUGCAUAUGUAUAAUAUCUAUGUUGCCUUCUAUGUGUAAAAAUAAAUACACAGACAC
rnacentral:lncRNA from 1 species